rnacentral:piRNA from 1 species
UGAGAUAGGCCAACGUGCUUUAUCGAGCCUU